rnacentral:rRNA from 1 species
GACGAACGCUGGCGGCGUGCCUAAUACAUGCAAGUAGAACGCUGAAGAGAGGAGCUUGCUCUUCUUGGAUGAGUUGCGAACGGGUGAGUAACGCGUAGGUAACCUGCCUGGUAGCGGGGGAUAACUAUUGGAAACGAUAGCUAAUACCGCAUAAAAUUGAUUAUUGCAUGAUAAUCCAUUGAAAGGUGCAACUGCACCACUACCAGAUGGACCUGCGUUGUAUUAGCUAGUUGGUGGGGUAACGGCUCACCAAGGCGACGAUACAUAGCCGACCUGAGAGGGUGAUCGGCCACACUGGGACUGAGACACGGCCCAGACUCCUACGGGAGGCAGCAGUAGGGAAUCUUCGGCAAUGGACGGAAGUCUGACCGAGCAACGCCGCGUGAGUGAAGAAGGUUUUCGGAUCGUAAAGCUCUGUUGUAAGAGAAGAACGAGUGUGAGAGUGGAAAGUUCACACUGUGACGGUAUCUUACCAGAAAGGGACGGCUAACUACGUGCCAGCAGCCGCGGUAAUACGUAGGUCCCGAGCGUUGUCCGGAUUUAUUGGGCGUAAAGCGAGCGCAGGCGGUUAGAUAAGUCUGAAGUUAAAGGCUGUGGCUUAACCAUAGUACGCUUUGGAAACUGUUUAACUUGAGUGCAAGAGGGGAGAGUGGAAUUCCAUGUGUAGCGGUGAAAUGCGUAGAUAUAUGGAGGAACACCGGUGGCGAAAGCGGCUCUCUGGCUUGUAACUGACGCUGAGGCUCGAAAGCGUGGGGAGCAAACAGG